UCAUACAAACUGGGGAGCUAGCGGUGCCCUGAAUCCACAAUCCGCUUUAGUGGAAGUCAUAUUAAAUUUGAGGGAGACUUAGGUAUUACGCCAUAUAUUAAGGUGUUGAGAGUGUAGUCUUAUUUGGUAGAAAUUAGGCGAAUUAUGUCAGGUUGGGAACGAAGCAGCAUUAAGUCUAGAUUUCUAGGUUUAUAAGGUAGCUAUUACUUGAGCUAAGAUAUGUGAAACGGGUGUUUGGGUUGUUUCGAUUAUUUAAUGUAUGA
rnacentral:SRP_RNA from 1 species